ensembl:lncRNA
AUACGUAUAUAUUCCCUUAUACCGCAGAAUGAAAGCAUAUUCUUUAAAUCUGACCCUUGCUCCGGUUCGUAGCGCCUGUAGUUUGUAAUGGGAAAAUGAUAUGUGACCCUUUUAAAUGCUUCAUUUGUAUAACCAGUUUAUUAGUUGCAAGUGCUUAGGUCACAAAGGCCCUGACAUAAGAACUGAUGUCUCCCACUUGGAUUAGAUGUUUCCAGCGUCAUAGCUGUAGAGAUUGAACAAAGUGUUUGUUAUGUCUAUGACCACCUUUGUUUUUGAAUGUUGGGAGAGCAAGGACACGGUCAAAGAGCUGACGUGUCUUACAUGGAUAAGAUGUUCCCAGUAUCCUGACUGUAGAUACUCAACAAGAUGGUUAACGGUUUCUGUUGACGCCACCGAUAUCUAAGUUUAGUCUCACAGGGGCUGGCGGCCCUCUCCUCAACACAUGCCCACCACCGUACCCUGCUUCAUCUGCGAACCAGCAACCUCCGUCUGCAGGAGCACAUAUCAAAGUUCACUACACCCGGCAGAGGGAGGAAAAGGAAGCGGCAGUGAAAGCAGCACAGGAACGACUCCUCGGCGAAGAGGAGGAAAAGAGACAGGCUGCUCUCCCCACUCGCUCUCGCUCUCCAGGAGCAACCGGAGGGGACACUUCUGCCAUCAACAAACUGAUUGCAGAGCAACCAUCUACAUCAGAUGUUUUUUCCCUCUCUUUCGACCCAGAGGGAGUUCCCCCGGAUGCAAAAUCUGUGCUCCAAACCCCAAUGAUUCAAGUACCAGGACACUCAGGUCCCAUACUUGUUUUCCGGCCUUGGACUGAUACGGACAUUAGAGCUGCAAUGGCUCAUCUCCCGCCGAUACAGCACUCGGGAAGACUGUUUGCUGAAGCAUUCAUGGACUUCUGUAAGCAAUUCCUGCCCAACUUUGCUGAAAUUCGACGUGUUCUAAUGAGUCACGUGGGUCCGACUCACUACCAAAAGCUCAACCAGCUGGUUGCAGGAGACACCAGUGCGGCCGAUGUUGAAUGGAGUUCAAAU